rnacentral:tRNA from 1 species
GAGCUGGGGCUCAGUGGUAGAGUGCUCGCCUGGCAUGCAUGAGGCACUGGGUUCAAUCCUCAGUACCACA